rnacentral:rRNA from 1 species
UACGUAGGGGGCGAGCGUUGUCCGGAUUUACUGGGCGUAAAGCGCGUGUAGGCGGCUAGGCAAGUCGGGUGUGAAAGCCCUCAGCUCAACUGAGGAAGUGCGCCCGAAACUGCUUUGCUUGAGUGCUGGAGAGGGUCGCGGAAUUCCCGAAGUAGAGGUGAAAUUCGUAGAUAUCGGGAGGAACACCGGUGGCGAAGGCGGCGACCUGGACAGUAACUGACGCUGAGACGCGAAAGCGUGGGUAGCAAACAGG